rnacentral:rRNA from 1 species
AGAGUUUGAUCCUGGCUCAGGAUGAACGCUAGCGGUGUGCCUAAUGCAUGCAAGUCGAACGGGAUCCUUGGAUUCGUCUGAGGUGAGAGUGGCGAACGGGUGAGUAACACGUUGGUGACCUGCCUUAGAGAGGGGGAUAACUGUUGGAAACGAUAGCUAAUACCCCGGAUGUCAAGGCUUUUAGAAAACCUUGACUAAAGCUUCGGCGCUCUAAGAGGGGCCUGCGGCCCAUCAGCUUGUUGGUAGGGUAAUGGCCUACCAAGGCUAAGACGGGUAGGGGGCGUGAGAGCGUGACCCCCCACACUGGUACUGAGACACGGACCAGAUACCUGCGGGUAGCAGCAGCAAGGAAUAUUGCGCAAUCGACGAAAGUCGGACGCAGCAACACCGCGUGGAGGAUGAAGGCCUUCGGGUUGUAAACUCCUUUUCUGGGGGAAGAGAAAGGACGGUACCCCAGGAAUAAGUCUCGGCUAACUACGUGCCAGCAGCCGCGGUAAAACGUAGGAGGCGAGCGUUAUCCGGAUUUACUGGGCGUAAAGCGCAUGUAGGCGGUUUUCUAAGUCGGACGUGAAAGCUCCUGGCUCAACUAGGAGAGGCCGUUCGAAACUAGGAGACUUGAGGGUGGUAGAGGAGAGUGGAAUUCCCGGUGUAGUGGUGAAAUGCGUAGAUAUCGGGAGGAACACCAGUGGCGAAGGCGGCUCUCUGGGCCACUCCUGACGCUCAGAUGCGAAAGCUAGGGGAGAGAACGGGAUUAGAAACCCCGGUAUUCCUAGCCGUAAACGAUGUCAACUAGGCGUAGGAGGUUAUUAACCCCUUCUGUGCUGUAG